GGGAAAGUGAGUUUGCCUCUCCCCUUUAUCUUCCUAUCUCACCAUCAAAGACAGCAUGUCUAAGCCCCAUGGCACCAUUGCUCCUGCCGGCUGGAUCAUUGGAUCAGGACCAUAUUGUGAGCAGGAAAGGUAAAGGGAACACCUAAGCCCAGGAGACUGAGCUAAUUAUUGGGGACACUGCCUGUGAAGAAGAUCUCUGCUUUUGGUUUUCCUGGUUUUCCUUACUCUGGCAAGUAACCACCUUCUCUGGGCCUCUGCAACAUGCCUGCAAAGCAUAACUACCAUCUCACAAGGAGGACUCUUGGCUUCAUAGUUAAUUGAAUCUUAAAGGCAUUAAGACUCAGCACCUGUAAUGGAAAAGCAAAGUCUCAUCAGCAUGACUGUCUGAAUAUGGGCUGGACAAGAACAACAACAAUAGACACGUGGAUGGCAAAAAGCCCAUGAGACCCCAUCCCUACACAAAGAGCUACGGGAAAGAACACCACAUCAGCUGUCAUGGUUCACUGCCUGCGCCAGAAGACAGAGAAGGAACGCUUGGAGUUCACACUGAAAUUGAAUCCUGGAUGUCAGUGGAGAUCAUGGAGAGAUGAUGGGCUUAGAAGACAAGAUGGAUGAGAAAAUGGCCAGUUCCCUCCUGAUGAAGUUCCACUCUGUCCUUACGAGGCUCUAGCCAAUCUUGGGGAUUUUUUUGGGGAACUAAGUUCAGUGGCUUGCUUUAAUCACAGACAAAUUCAAUGACUGUAAACAAUAGUGGUGG
rnacentral:lncRNA from 1 species